CGUGGGGACGGUGCUGCUGUGCAGGUGGCAGCAGGGACGUUUGGGGACAGCCCUGGGAUGGGGACGCUUUGGUCCCUGGGUGGCACCACAGUGGGUGUAGGGUCAGUCCGUUUUCCCCAGUGUCCCCAAACCAGGGGACAAGCCCCGCUCCCCUGGUGGCACCAGGGACAGCACGGGGACAGCUCUGCGCCGAGUGUCCCCAGGCUCUGUUUGGAGGGGACAAGUCCAGGUGUCCUCCUGCUGGACACGGGGACAACCCCACCACGGGGGUUAGGUCCCCAGUGUCCCCAACAUCCCCAUGUGGUGCAGGUCCCCAGUGUCCCCAACACCCCCAUCCGGGGCAUGUCCCCGUUGUCCCCAGUGUCCCUGCCUGGGGCGGGUCCCUACCAUGUCCCCAUCCUCUUUGGGGACACUUUGGGGACCGGGUGGCCGGGCAGGUGGCAGGCGGCGCCGGUGCCGUUUAUAGCCGGAGCCGGUGGGUGGGAGCCGGGCGCAGGAUCCGGCCUGGCACCAGGCCCAGCGUCACCGUCACCGUCACCGUCGUCACCGCCACCGAUGGGGUACGGCCCCGGGGAGAGGGGGGUGGCGGUGAUCCCGUGUGUCCCCCCCCCGGGAUGUCCCUUGUCCCCAGGGAGAUGACAGCCAGGAGCUGGGGUCUCCUGGCCCUGGGUCCCCAGAGGUGGGUUGCCUCGUCCCCA